rnacentral:rRNA from 1 species
AUGAGUGCUAAGUGUUGGAGGGUUUCCGCCCUUCAGUGCUGCAGCAAACGCAUUAAGCACUCCGCCUGGGGAGUACGACCGCAAGGUUGAAACUCAAAGGAAUUGACGGGGGCCCGCACAAGCGGUGGAGCAUGUGGUUUAAUUCGAAGCAACGCGAAGAACCUUACCAGGUCUUGACAUCCUUUGACCACUCUAGAGAUAGAGCUUUCCCUUCGGGGACAAAGUGACAGGUGGUGCAUGGUUGUCGUCAGCUCGUGUCGUGAGAUGUUGGGUUAAGUCCCGCAACGAGCGCAACCCUUAUUGUUAGUUGCCAUCAUUUAGUUGGGCACUCUAGCGAGACUGCCGGUGACAAACCGGAGGAAGGUGGGGAUGACGUCAAAUCAUCAUGCCCCUUAUGACCUGGGCUACACACGUGCUACAAUGGGAAGUACAACGAGUCGCUAGACCGCGAGGUCAUGCAAAUCUCUUAAAGCUUCUCUCAGUUCGGAUUGCAGGCUGCAACUCGCCUGCAUGAAGCCGGAAUCGCUAGUAAUCGCGGAUCAGCACGCCGCGGUGAAUACGUUCCCGGGCCUUGUACACACCGCCCGUCACACCACGAGAGUUUGUAACACCCGAAGUCGGUGAGGUAAC